UAGGGAAUAUUGGUAAUCUGGGAAACCGGGAACCAGCAACGCCGCGUGCGCGAUGAAGGCCUUCGGGUUGUAAAGCGCUUUUUGAGAGGAUGAGGAAGGACAGUACUCUUAGAAUAAGCCUCGGCUAACUACGUGCCAGCAGCCGUGGUAAAACGUAGGAGGCGAGCGUUAUCCGGAUUUAAGGGGCGUAAAGCGUGUGUAGGCGGUUUGAUAAGUUGGAUGUGAAAGCUUCUGGCUUAACUGGGAGAGGUCGUUCAAAACUAUCAGACUUGAGAGUGGUAGAGGGAGGUGGAAUUCCGCAUGGAGUGGUGAAAUGCGUAGAUAUGCGGAGGAACACCAGUGGCGAAAGCGGCCUCCUGGCCCAUUUCUGACGCUCAGACACGAAAGCUAAGGUAGCAAACG
rnacentral:rRNA from 1 species